CCCUGACUGCAUCUCGCGUUCUUGUAAUGAGAAUGAGGAAGUGUGGUUCCCAGGAUGAACAGACCAGACGUGUAUGAGUUGGAGAUACAUAAGGGUAAGGUGAAUGUGCCUCUGAUGUGCCUCCAUCGCAUCACCGCCCACAGUGUCACUUCCAAGCAGAGAGCACUCCCUUUUCAACGCGGGAAACUAAUCGGAGAGGAGGGAAAAACGGUGGAAGAUGAGAAUCUCCUUAAUCACAGCCGCUUGAUCUGCAAAUCAAACAGCCGGCGUGAAUAAGACGAGACCUGGGUGAGCCCACACAACCAGGAAGAGGACCUUUGCUUCUAUUUCUAUUUAUGUUAUAUCUGUUAUAUAUCAUAUUAUUAUAUCCUAUACUAUAUAAUUCAUUUUAAAUAUGAAGCUUAGUUGAUGAUCCGGAUUACUUUUUAUAUUUUCUGAGAUAGUCAUAUUUUUAUAAAGUAAAAAAAAAUAAAGACUAGUCGAUAUACCGAUAAAUUAAGAUUUUCUUCUUUCACAAACAAACUGAAAAAUUAAAUAAAGAUUCAUCUAUUAACUGACUUUUUUGCAUUAUCUGACACCUAAAAUUUACUGAUUUAAAAAUCUUAUUCAAGUUGAUUGAGCAGCCAAUUAGCGGUGCGCUGACGCCAAGGUGCACAAGUUGAGGCAUGUUUCUUUGCGACGGACGCCAAAUAGGCGGAGUUGGCUGAGUUUGUUAGCAAAAGAGCGAUGGGGGAGGAAAGACUGAAUAAUUCAUCAUUCUUGUCUUUGUUGUCCUUCCAAAAAUGUUUUUUAAGGUAUUUGUGGCUCUACUUCCUAGAAGUGAUGAAUUAUAGUCGACUUUGGCAGUUAUAUUUCUAAUAACAGAGUAACUAAUAGAGGUGCUAACAGUGGCUAAUGGAGUCGCUAAAACAGUGACUAUUAAAGGAGCUAUGGCGGUAUCUCACAAAGUGGCUAAGAGAGGAGCUAACAGAGGCUAAUGGAGUUGCUAGCAGUCGAUAAUAGAGAAGCUAACAGUGCCUAACAGUGGCUACACGAGGAGCUAAGGCGGUAGCUACCAAUUUCUAAUGAAGUAGCUAAAGUAGAUUGACAUAGUGGGUAAUAAAGUAGUCAGCAGAUGAGAAAAAAAUAAAAUUGGAGGGUGUUGGCACAAACAAGCAAAAUACGGGCUAAAAGAUGGAAAUACAGAUACUUAUGGUAUCCCCUUGAAUUUUCAACUGCUCUCAAAAUCUGAUUUAUUCACAUAAACUGUGAAUUGUUUAUGUGAUGCAUUCUAUUGUAACCUGAUGCAUGUUGAAAUAAAAUUAAACUAAUAAAUAAAAUUACCAUAUUUUCUUCCCCAAGAAGGUUAAAAUAGGACAAAAUAUUAGACAAAUUACGAAAGAAGACAAAAAUACAAUAGUUUUUCAGGAAAAUUGUAGGGUUUUGAAUAUGAACAGCGGCGAAUGUAGGUGAUAGACAAGCUAACAGAGUGGCUAAUAUAAUAGCAAAUAUACCUGCUAACAGUAGCUAGUAUAAAUGUUCAAUAGAAUGGCUAAUAAGAGUUUAAUAGAAUCAUUUU